rnacentral:rRNA from 1 species
UACGUAGGGACCGAGCGUUGUUCGGAAUCAUUGGGCGUAAAGCGCGUGUAGGCGGCUUGGCAAGUCGGUUGUGAAAGCCCGGGGCCCAACCCCGGAACUGCAUCUGAAACUGCCUGGCUAGAGUCCCGGAGAGGAAGGCAGAAUUUCCGGUGUAGGGGUGAAAUCCGUAGAUAUCGGGAGGAAUACCAGCGGCGAAGGCGGCCUUCUGGACGGUGACUGACGCUGAGACGCGAAAGCGUGGGGAGCAAACAGG